UAGGGAGGUGAUCCUUUCCCCAUGAGAUCGACUAUGAUUAUACUGUGCCUUUUCUUUUCUUAUUUGGUUAGAAAUCAAGCCAAGGAUCCUGAUCCUA